rnacentral:rRNA from 1 species
GCAACAUCGGUCCAAUCCUUAAAGUCAUCCUCAGUUCGGACUGGGGUCUGCAACCCGACCCCACGAAGCUGGAUUCGCUAGUAAUCGCGCAUCAGCCAUGGCGCGGUGAAUACGUUCCCGGGCCUUGUACACACCGCCCGUCAAGCCAUGAAAGCCGGGGGCGCCUGAAGUCCGUGACCGCGAGGGUCGGCCUAGGGUGAAACCGGUGAUUGGGGCUAAGUCGUAACAAGGUAGC